rnacentral:rRNA from 1 species
GGAAUCUUAGACAAUGGGCGCAAGCCUGAUCUAGCCAUGCCGCGUGAGUGAAGAAGGCCUUAGGGUCGUAAAGCUCUUUCGCCUGUGAAGAUAAUGACGGUAGCAGGUAAAGAAACCCCGGCUAACUCCGUGCCAGCAGCCGCGGUAAUACGGAGGGGGUUAGCGUUGUUCGGAAUUACUGGGCGUAAAGCGCGCGUAGGCGGGCUGGAAAGUUGGGGGUGAAAUCCCGGGGCUCAACCCCGGAACUGCCUCCAAAACUCCCAGCCUAGAGGUCGAGAGAGGUGAGUGGAAUUCCGAGUGUAGAGGUGAAAUUCGUAGAUAUUCGGAGGAACACAAGUGGCGAAGGCGGCUCACUGGCUCGAUACUGACGCUGAGGUGCGAAAGUGUGGGGAGC